UGUAAAGCCAAGGAGGUAGAAAGUGGAAUGAAUCCUAGGCUGGGGUGUUUCCAUGUGUGUGGAAUGGAAGCCCACAGAAGCAAAGGAGUUAAGAGCUUGGGCAGAGUGUCACUAGAGAUUAAAUUCCAUGCUCUAGACUGGAUAGAAAUCAAGAUGGCAGGAGGCUGGUGGAUUGAGAAUGAAACAGGUUGAAAAAUACCCUAUGAAAGGUCCAUUGAUCGGAUCUUUCAUUAAUUGUAAUUGGAUGGUUCAUUAAUUGUAACAAAUGUACACGUAGAUAUGUAAGUCCUAGAGUACUUAUUUCAGACAUAUUCACACUACUUUAGAAUGUUAUUUAACCAUAUUAUGUGUGUACCUUGACUCCCAAUUGGAUUAUGAGCUUCUGAAGGAAAGUGGAUUAUCUUAAACUUUUUGUGUAUUUUUGGCUGUUAACAUAAAUGUUGGGCCCAAAUGAGAGUGCUCAUAAUUAUCUGUGAAAAGAAUAAGACGACAGAGUACUUAUCUUGAGAAUAAAUAGACAGUAAAUGCUGUGCUGUCUGGACUUUUCUCAACAGGAAAGCUUUGGAAGUGGGCAUUUUUGAUGGUCUCUACUGCAAAUCAUUGAAUGCAGUCAUUGAAAUUCAACUGCAGUGCCAGCACAUUUGAAAGAGGCCUGAUAAAAUGCAGUCUAUGUUGUCUCCAAUGACUUCAGCCAAGUAAAAUAAGCCUAGAGGGGAAAAUAAACCUUUUUCUAAAACUUCACACAGGGAAAAAGUUGCCUAAGUUUUUGAGAAAUGACUAGUAUUUCCAAAAUGGAGUUGGACUGGGAAUGUGAGAAGCCAAAGGUAACCACUAUGAAAAAUAACGGGGCAGUUGGGAAGCACAGGUUACCUUAAUCAGGCUUGGAAAGGGAGUGAUAGAAAUGUAAAUCUAAAGCUGCCUCUAGAUCCCCUGGCUAAAUAGAAACUCCUAGAAGCAGAAUCAAUUUUUCACUAUUCAAUGAUGACUGCGUUUUCUAUAGGUUGAAAGCACAGAAGUAGGAAAGUUUCAAAGUUCUCAAGAAAUAACAGGUGAAUGAAUAAAAAAUCAUUGCUUUUGCCAACCCACACUCCCUGGCCUCUUUCUUGCCCUAGAGAGAGUUUGGUGUCUCCAUCCCACUCUGCCUGUCCUGGACACAGUUUGCAAUUCCAGCUACUAAUUAGCUUGUUAUUGUUUCCCAGUUUAGGAAGGAGGAGAGGCAAAGAGAUCCAGGGCUACUGGAGAACAGGCCAGGAUGGGGGCUUUCAUGGGGGACCUCUAGGGAGAGCCUGAAAAGGCAAGAGAGAGGACAUCAAAGAUAAAUUCCUUCUGCUUCAGAAUUUUGCGGAGGGUCUGCUCUACAUCACACUUCCUGAGUUGAGGAUUGAAGCAUAUUUAGGGAAUGCUGGACCAAACUGCUGAGAUUGGGACUUUUGUAGGAACUCUGACACUAUUGUCUCCAUCGCAACGGGAGAUAUAGAGACAGGUAACUUUUCUCAAAG
rnacentral:lncRNA from 1 species